CCAAUAGCGUAUAUUAAAGUUGUUGCAGUUAAAAAGCUCGUAGUUGAAUUUCGGGAUCAAUAUAUCGGUCGUGCCUUGGUACGUACUGGUAUCAUUGGUUUCUCCUUUCUGACGAACCAUGAUGUCAUUAAUUUGGUGUUAUGGGAAGUUAGGACUGUUACUUUGAAAAAAUUAGAGUGUUUAAAGCAGGCUUUAGCUUGAAUACAUUAGCAUGGACUAAUGAAAUAGGACGUUCGAACCUAUUUUGUUGGUUUCUAGGAUCAACGUAAUGAUUAAUAGGGAUAGUUGGGGGCAUUAGUAUUCAAUUGUCAGAGGUGAAAUUCUUGGAUUUAUUGAAGACUAACUACUGCGAAAGCAUUUGCCAAGGAUGUUUUCAUUAAUCAAGAACGGAAGUUAGGGGAUCGAAGACGAUCAGAUACCGUCGUAGUCUUAACCAUAAACUAUGCCGACUAGGGAUCGGAUGAUGUUAAUUUUUUAAUGACUCAUUCGGCGCCUUACG
rnacentral:misc_RNA from 1 species